rnacentral:lncRNA from 1 species
AUGAACGCAAGAACAUUGUUGGCAACCUUUUUCCCAGGUUGCACCGUCCUCGUGAACGGUACCAUUGACUCUGCACGAUUUUUGGCACUCGCACUCUUCGACCUUGCUUAUUCUGUUCUCUGCAACGGCUAGCUGAAAGGAAGGACGUCGAUGGAUGAGCGAUUCAUUGAAAAUGUAGGGCAGGCCGAGUCGAGUCUAGGACAUUGCGAGAGAUAUCCAUGGGGUCCUGGUAUCAGCAUGACGUCCUGCAAAGCACCCUGUGCCGCGAAAAUCGCACAGAAUAGCUCUCUCAGUCGAGUGAUGACAAAUAGAUCUUCCAAAUUUUAAUUACAACAUUUGUCGUAGUUGACCAAAAGAUCGUUACAUUCUAUCGUAUAAUUUAUAAUUGCGUUUUUUCCCUCGUACAAUUGUUUCCAACCAAAAAAUCCCAUGAUUUACCUUGAAUAGAAAAUGCCUAGCAUUUCUUUGUCCAACCCAGAGUUGUAACUGCGGUUGGGUGAAAUUCGUGUCCGGUGGGCCUGUUAUGAUGAGUCGCCUGUAGAUUGAGUGACAGUCGACUAGUAGCUCGACCUGCGAGCCACUUAUACUCAUGGCAACCCUAUGCCAGGCUCCGUCAGCCAAACGAAAAGGAAAUGCCUCGACGUGGACGUUACCGUCUAGGCGUGAUACAUAAUGUAGUCGAAGUUCGUCUUUGCGUCCGCUGCUCUGCAGCUCCAAAUAUCUGUCAAAAAAGCAACAAGCAAAUUGUUCAAACGUCUGACACACUUCAUUACGUAUCUUCUUCCUCUACUUAUGAAAAUAAAUGUAAAACGAAAC